rnacentral:tRNA from 1 species
GGACCCAUAGCCAAGCGGUAAGGCAAGGGACUGCAACUCCCUCACCACCGGUUCAAAUCCGGUUGGGUCCUCCA